rnacentral:rRNA from 1 species
CCUACGGGAGGCAGCAGUGGGGAAUAUUGGACAAUGGGCGAAAGCCUGAUCCAGCCAUGCCGCGUGUGUGAAGAAGGCCUUCGGGUUGUAAAGCACUUUCAGUGGGGAAGAAAGCCUUGGGGCUAAUACCCUCGAGGAAGGACAUCACCCACAGAAGAAGCACCGGCUAACUCCGUGCCAGCAGCCGCGGUAAUACGGAGGGUGCGAGCGUUAAUCGGAAUUACUGGGCGUAAAGCGCGCGUAGGCGGUCUGAUAAGCCGGUUGUGAAAGCCCCGGGCUCAACCUGGGAACGGCAUCCGGAACUGUCCGGCUAGAGUGCAGGAGAGGAAGGUAGAAUUCCCGGUGUAGCGGUGAAAUGCGUAGAGAUCGGGAGGAAUACCAGUGGCGAAGGCGGCCUUCUGGACUGACACUGACGCUGAGGUGCGAAAGCGUGGGUAGCAAACAGGAUUAGAUACCCGUGUAGUC